rnacentral:RNase_P_RNA from 1 species
AGGAAAGUCCGGGCUUCACAGGGCAGGAUGCCGGAUAACGUCCGGUGGAGGCGACUCCCAGGAAAGUGCAACAGAAAUAAACCGCCGGCGAAAGCCGGUAAGGGUGCAAAGGCGGUGCAAGAGACCACCGCCCGCGCGGCAACGCGCGGGGCACAUGCAAACCCCAUCCGAAGCAAGGCCGAACAGGACAGAAGGCGGCCCGCCGGCCGCGCCCAGGCGCGGCACUGUCCGGGUAGGCUGCUUGAUUCUGCCGGCGACGGCAGAACUAGAUAGAUGAUCGUCAGAUACAUAACCCGGCUUACAGUCCGUCUCA